rnacentral:rRNA from 1 species
GACGAACGUUGGCGGCGUGUUUAAGGCAUGCAAGUCGAGCGCCCCGCAAGGGGAGCGGCAGACGGGUGAGUAACGCGUGGGAAUCUACCCAUCACUACGGAACAACUCCGGGAAACUGGAGCUAAUACCGUAUACGUCCUUCGGGAGAAAGAUUUAUCGGUGAUGGAUGAGCCCGCGUUGGAUUAGCUAGUUGGUGGGGUAAUGGCCUACCAAGGCGACGAUCCAUAGCUGGUCUGAGAGGAUGAUCAGCCACACUGGGACUGAGACACGGCCCAGACUCCUACGGGAGGCAGCAGUGGGGAAUAUUGGACAAUGGGCGAAAGCCUGAUCCAGCCAUGCCGCGUGAGUGAUGACGGCCCUAGGGUUGUAAAGCUCUUUCGCAGGUGAAGAUAAUGACGGUAACCUGAGAAGAAGCCCCGGCUAACUUCGUGCCAGCAGCCGCGGUAA